UACGAAGGGGGCUAGCGUUGCUCGGAAUCACUGGGCGUAAAGGGUGCGUAGGCGGGUCUUUAAGUCAGGGGUGAAAUCCCAGAGCUCAACUCUGGAACUGCCUUUGAUACUGGCAAUCUCGAGUCCGGAAGAGGUGAGUGGAACUCCUAGUGUAGAGGUGGAAUUCGUAGAUAUUAGGAAGAACACCAGUGGCGAAAGGCGGCUCACUGGUCCGGAACUGACGCUGAGGUGCGAAAGCGUGGGGAGCAAACAGG
rnacentral:rRNA from 1 species